CCUACGGGUGGCAGCAGUGAGGAAUAUUGGUCAAUGGACGAGAGUCUGAACCAGCCAAGUAGCGUGAAGGAUGACUGCCCUAUGGGUUGUAACCUUCUUUUAUAUGGGAAUAAAAUGUUACACGUGUGGGAUUUUGUAUGUACCAUAUGAAUAAGGAUCGGCUAACUCCGUGCCAGCAGCCGCGGUAAUACGGAGGAUCCAAGCGUUAUCCGGAUUUAUUGGGUUUAAAGGGAGCGUAGGUGGAUUGUUAAGUCAGUUGUGAAAGUUUCCGGCUCAACCGUAAAAUUGCAGUUGAAACUGGCAGUCUUGAGUACAGUAGAGGUGGGCGGAAUUCGUGGUGUAGCGGUGAAAUGCUUAGAUAUCACGAAGAACACCUAUUGCGAAGGCAGCUCACUGGACUGCAACUGACACUGAGGCGCGAAAGUGUGGGGAGCAAACAGGAUUAGAUACCCGAGUAGUC
rnacentral:rRNA from 1 species